rnacentral:misc_RNA from 1 species
CGCUGAAACUGUUGCAUUUCUACAAAGCUGAUGAGUAAAGUUUGGCACAAUUUCCAUUUGCUGAAUCAAGAUUUCACUUUAGUUUCGUUCGUAGGAUGUAGGUUUCUCUCUCUAGCAAUUGUCUAACAUUUUCUUGAAGAUAGACGAAAUGAACCUUUUUAAGACUGGAUAAUACGGUAGUAGAAAUAGGUUUAUGAAGUCAUAUACCUUUGUGGAUAGCUGUCUUGUAUAGCAAUGAAUAGACCUGUUGUCUAACUGGGGG